rnacentral:rRNA from 1 species
GCUUUCUUUGCUGGCGACCGGCGCACGGGUGAGUAACACGUAUCCAACCUGCCCUUUACUCGGGGAUAGCCUUUCGAAAGAAAGAUUAAUACCCGAUAGUAUAAUGAUUCCGCAUGGUUUCAUUAUUAAAGGAUUCCGGUAAAGGAUGGGGAUGCGUUCCAUUAGGUUGUUGGUGAGGUAACGGCUCACCAAGCCUUCGAUGGAUAGGGGUUCUGAGAGGAAGGUCCCCCACAUUGGAACUGAGACACGGUCCAAACUCCUACGGGAGGCAGCAUG